rnacentral:lncRNA from 1 species
UUUUGAGUGAAAUAUAAUGCCUAGAACUAUACCAUACACGAACCACUCCAUUUCAGAACGAACUUCGUACGAACCUGAAUUGUCCGAUUUCAAACCCCAAUCGAUAUCGGAUUGAGUCCAAAACUUGGGGAACAUCAUAAUAUUGUGAGAGGAGUCAUUUGGUGGGUUUUGAGUAAAAUCCAAUCUCUAGAACUAUACAAUACACCAACCACCCCAUUUCAGAACGAACGUCGUACGAACCUGAAUUGUCCGAUUUUAAGGACCGAUCGAUAUCGGAUUGGGUCCAAAACUUGGGGAACAUCACCUGAAUCGUCCGAUUUCAAGGACCAAUCGAUAUCGGAUUGAGUCCAAAACUUGGGGAACAUCAAAAUAUUGUGGGAGGAGUCAUUUGGUGGGUUUUGAGUGAAAUCGAAUCUCUAGAACUAUACAAUACACCAACCACCCCAUUUCAGAACGAACUUAGUACGAACCUGAAUUGUCCGAUUUCAAGGGACCACUCGAUAUCGGAUUGAGUCCAAAACUUGGGGAACAUCAUAAUAUUGUGGGAGGAGUCAUUUGGUGGGUUUUGAGUGAAAUACAAUCCCUAUAACUAUACAAUACACCAACCAC